AAUGCUCAUGUUAUUUUCAGAUUUCAAUGCAUGCGGUUUUCAGUUUAACAACCAGGUUCCAUAUGUGGUGUGCGUGCAUUUAAUUUUUGAAGCAUUCCUUAAACCAUAUUCUUUUUUUUUUUUUAAAUAAAUUAAUCACUGUAGUUACAGCUAGUGUCAAAAUACAUCGGUUUUACUACUGUAAAACUUCAGUGAAUGAAUAUCGAAAUUAUAUCCAAAGGUGAAGUCAAACAUUUCCAGCCUAUAAAGACUUGUGUUGCUGCUGGAAAGAAGCCAGGGCAUGUGUCCGUGUUUACCUCGCAGGCACCGGGUCGCACGCUCCUUUCACGCUGAUGUCAGAUUGGCACCACACAUGGAUCACAUCACGGGGCAAAAACCUCCUAAGCGUUCGACCAGCGCAAGAAGUGUUAAAGCU